CAAUAAUUUGGAAAUAAGGAAUAAGGAAUGGACAAUAAUGUGGAAAUAAGGAAUAAGGAAUGGACUAUAAGGUUUAAUUAUAUAUACUAGGGACUUGCCAAUUAUGUUCUCGGCAGUCCCAUUGUUUGUCAAGCCGUGGCCGUACAAUUUUGUACUUUUGCCAAAUAAAAUAUUUCUUACUUUAUAUUUGUAUGUCAUUUGGCCCCACGUUGUCUCAGAUAAUAAGAUUUAUUCCUAUGAAGAAUAAAUCCGGUUAUCGGAGGAAAGUGGGCUUACGUUUUGGGAGUUGUCCCGCUUUGCACACGUGGAUGUAUUAUGAGUCACGUGUGAUUUUUUAACCUUGAUAACUGACGUCAUCAUUCUUUCUUUACCACGUACGAUACAGCAGAGGGAAGACGCAAACAAUUGGGUUCCGUAUGAAUUAACUAAUGUUUGUUUCAAAAGUUACCCACCCACCCACCACUUAGAUUAAAGACAUACUCCUAAAAUGUAGUUAAUAUACAUGUGUUAAAUGUUAUAUUAUGUUAUAUCAUGUUGUUCGUUUUUCUGCUGUUUUUGUUCUAUUUUUCAGGUUGAAAUGACUGGUAGCUUAUUCCGAUUGUAAUCCCAAUCCUUCGUCACGGCUUCAGACAAAGACUCCGACCAUUGUAAUCCCAAUCCUUCGUCACGGCUUCAGACAAAGACUCCGACCAUUUAAUGGCGAAAAUAGCGACACAACAUCUACAAAU
rnacentral:lncRNA from 1 species